rnacentral:piRNA from 1 species
UAUACUAGACGAAGCUUCUCUGUAAGU